GAUUUGGGGUCGACUGUUAAGGCCCAAAGAAUUAUGACGUCAUGGAUUCCUCGUUCGUCUUUGAGUCAACAGGUCACCGAACGUCACCUCCACGACGGCGACACACGAGAAGCUGCUCGCAAACUGUCGCUAUGGUCACCGGUUCCCCGUGUCUCGACCUGGUGCACUCUCAUAAGGAGACAGAUGAUCCGUUAGUGAGAAAAAAUGGAAGAAAAUUUUCGAGGUUAACUAAUCAACGGUGAAGAUUAUAGUGAAGCAGUUAUUAUACUCAGUUUAAUAUGCCAUAAUGGAAAAGUCAUCUUCACGAUGUAUCUCAAAUGUCAAGAUCAUCCUGGGCUCAUUUAGAAAUGCACGUGUAUGUAUCACCUGUUGAUGCUAUUGUUACCCUCGCUAUAUAUGUAUAUUAUGUAUCGUAAAAGUAGGUCAAGAUUACGUGCUACUGAUUUUUACGGUACAUCGAGCAUAGUUAUCAGGAUUUCACAGGAUGAUCGUAUCUAAUAAUAAACGCACGUGUUACACAUCAGUCAGGUGCACAAACGCACGUGAUUAAACCGGGAAUAACCACGUGGGAUAUUUGAGAUAACACAAUCGAAUGCUUUUCAAAUGGAGAAGAAAAUAACACGAUCAUUUCUGGGUUAAAUUCUUAAGCUUUUUGUUAAGCUUAAAAGGAAAUUCGAAUCCUUACAUAAUAUAAUAAUAGUUCAAUUGUGAUUUAUAUUACUGAAAAAAGAAUCUUAAUCUUGUAUCAAUGAAAAUCUGAUAAACGUAAACGUUAAAAUAUCGUACGUGUAUUCGCUCAUGAAACAAUAUACUAUCUGUAUAUACAAAUAUACAGGGUGUCCCAAAAUUACCUGACCAACGGGGUAUGGCGGUGUUCGGGAGGCACC